UGGAAUAGUGCCUGGCACACACUGACUACCAACAGGGAAGACACCACAAAUGGACUUUAGACAAUUUAAAGACAAAUGAUGGCCUCUCCAGCAUCCAGGUCCCUGGUGAUUAAGAAAAAUGUCCAAAGAAACAUUUUCUUCCCAUAAAAACUUGGGACCAAGGACAACCGCCCAAAUUUUGAGCCCAAGAGCAUAAACAAUGUGGACUGAAGAGAGAAAAACAAGAAGAAUGGGGCUUCAUAACCUAAAGCUGUAACUGGACAAUAACUCCAAUAUGCUAACGAAC